rnacentral:lncRNA from 1 species
GGAAACAGCCGUCCGGUGGUUGACCACAAACCACCAUCGCCGCCCUUGAUUUUCAGCCGUCCGGUGAGAACGCGCCAUCCGAAGUAGCCGAACAACAACGAGGUUUUGUGUUGGAUCGCGAUGUCGAAUUGCUUGUAUUUCGCAUUGAAGAAGGUGGUGAAGUUUGUUGCGAUUGACUCCGGUCUGCUAGAUGAUUUAGAUGGAUCUGCAUUGCAUUACAUAAGUUUAGGUGGUUUAGUUUUCCGUUAGCUUGGUAAUUGCUGUAAAUAAUCGUGUAUAUAUAUUCAUCUAUCGUGAAGGGUUGUUGAAUCAUAAUUUGCUGUAUAUGCAAUUCGAACAUUGAUUUAGAUAUUGUACUUAUCGGUUUAUUUGGAUUAAUAUAGCAGGGCAUGUCUCAUUUCAAGAUCAUCGGCUGACCUUUUGGAUGAACUCGACUUUAUUGUUUGAAUAUAGCAUUUUUGGAGAACUGACUCGGUGCUUAGAAGUUAGAUCGUACUAUAAUUUUGAAUAAAUUCAAGUUUGUUGCUGGACUUAGUGGUGAUGAGUUCUUUCUGCUGAGUUUUGCUUGGACGUGGGCUGCUGAUUAGUUUAGG